UUUUUUUUUUUUUUUUUUUGAGUUAGCUUGACUAGAUUAUAGUCCAAGUUCUUCAGCCAAACACUGACCUGGCUCUUGCUGAGAAAGAAUUUUAGAGAUGCAAUUAAGGACCCUAAUCAGAUAACUUUAAGUAGAGAAGUCAGUGACUGCAACACUUGGAACAUAUUAAAAAAUAUCCCUGAAUGGAGAAAUGGAUGGAGAAAGGAAGAGACAGUAGUCCUGUUGUGGCUCUGCCUGCAUCUGGUGGCUUCGACUUGCUGUAAUCUUUUCUUCUUGACUGCAUGACCUAUGCACAGCUGUCUCUGCGGGUCCCAUGAUGUAUAAAACUGUGCUUUGAUGUAGGUUACUCUCUCCUCCAGCUGUGUAGUGACGGUUGUGGAACAACCUGCUGCUUGUGUUUCUCUGACUCAGCAGUGAUCCCAUCACCCAGAGCAAUCAUUAUAAAUACUCUUACCGCGAUCCUAAUAACCCUGUUUUACAAAAACAUAUAAUGAUCUGAUAAUUUUUGUUUGCCCAGACAUAUAGGGCUGUCAAUAUAGCCAUUUAUUAAUGGUAGCAUAAGAUUUGAAUAGGAUUAUACCUUCAACUUAAAAGAAAAUUGAUGAAUAGAGAAAACAUACAGGACAUGGCAUAUCCUUCCUUGAAAGAAGAGAAUAUAUAUUUGUUUUAUUUUAUUUCUUGUGAACAUUUUAUAAUAAUAGGAACUAGCAUUUAUUAACUUCCCUGUUGAAAUGAUGCAUCCAUUAACACAAGCUCUGGACUUCCUUAUUUCCUUCCUCACUGGAAUUUUGUCUUUUGUUUUCCACUAAAUUUCCUCCCCUUCCCCCUUCUCCUUUCCCAGCUCACCUUUUGGUGCAAGUCUCUAAAUUAGUGUUCACCCAGUUGCUAUGUUUAGUCCAUUCUUUCAGGGUUACCCAGGUUCCUGAAUUAAAACUCACCAUUAUGCUGAUGUUCCUGAAAUUUGCUUGUUGGCAUAAUCUUCUUUUAAAUGGAGACUCACAUUUUCAAUCAUUCCUAAAAGCCAUCUCCUCUGACCUGCUACGUGAGUUCAUUAAUGUCUUCCAAAGGGGAACCCUGGCUUUUUUUUUUAUUAUGUAUUUUCCUCAAUUACAUUUCCAAUGCUAUCCCAAAAGUCCCCCUCACCACCACCCCCACUCCCCUACCCACCCAUUCCCAUUUUUUGGCUCUGGCGUUCCCCUGUACUGGGGCAUAUAAAGUUUGUCUGUCCAAUCUCUUUCCAGUGAUGGCCGACUAGGCCAUCUUUUGAUACAUAUGCAGGGAUCCAUCCCAUAAUUAGCCUCCAAACGAUGACACCAUUGCAUACACUAGUAAGUGUUUGAUGCAAGGACCGUGAUAUAGCUGUCUCUUGUGAGAUUAGGCCGGGGUCUAGCAAACACAGAAGUGGAUGCUCACAGUCAACUAUUGGAUGGAUCACAGGGCUCCCAGUGGAGGAGCUAGAGAAAGUAUCCAAGGGGAACCCUGUCUUAAAGGCCUUCUAUCUCCAAACCUGCUCAUUCUGAAAUCUCUGCUGCUUCAUUCUAGGGGCCACGUUAAAUAUUUCCAGCCUCUGUUCCCUAUUUUCAUUUCCCACAUACAUCCGAGAUCUCUCAAACACUUUAGUUUUUAUCUCUAGGAUAAAACUACCCUCUUAUGACCUCUGCUGUUUCCAUCUUAAACAAAACUCGAUGGUUUUGCUCUGACUUAUAAGAGUAGUGUUUCAUCUUCCAUACAGCUUCCACUUUUGCUUCCUUAGAGUCCAUUAUGUAUUGCAUGUCCAAAACAUCAUCCCAUAUUCAGAAUAUUCUUUGGGCAUCUGUAUUUUAUUUGUAGAGUUGAGUAUGUAACCCAGAGGGCCCACACAGCAGUCAAUCAUUCUAUCAAUUUGGUACUCACUUCCUGUCAUAUAUCUUCUCACCUCACUGAAAGUCCAAGCACUUCCAAUGAUAUGUAAAUACUCUGAGAUAAUUUUCCCCCAUGCCAUUGCCUUUAGAUUGACUUUCAGAGGAAAAUAAUGUGUCCUCCUUAUCCUAUCCUACUUACUGAUCUACUUACUUAAUAGAAACAUUUAAGAACACAUUUUUGCUUAAUGAUAAAUGGUACUUUAGAUGUAGUGAUAAACUGUGGUUGAACUGUCACUAUAAUUAUUAGGUAGUAACUUAGGGUUCUGAGUCAAUAGUUAGUAAAAGAUAGCAAAACAAAGACCAAACCAUCUCCUUCGGUUUUAGCACCAUGACUGCCACUAACAGACAAGCUAAACCAUGUAGUGACAAGACAGUUCCCAAGCAGAAAUGAUUGUGUGAUAAGUAAAAGGGGAUAGCUGCCUCCUGCUCUUCCCCCUUCUCCUCAUCUCCUCCUCCUUCAUCUUCUCUUUCUCUUUCUCUUUCUCUUUCUCUUUCUCUCUCUCUCUCUCUCUCUCUCUCUCUCUCUCUCUCUCUCACUCACUCACUCUUGUGUGUUUCUCUGUCUCUUUUUGUCUGUACAGGUGUGUAGGUGUGUGUGGAAAUCAAAGGUUUUGUUUCUUUCUCUAUCACUCUUUCUUCUUUCCUUCUUUUUUCUUUCUUUCCUUCCUUUCUUCUUUCAUUCUUUUGUUCUUUCAUUCUUUCUUUCAUCUUUGCUUUUGAGUCAGGGUUUGUUACUAAGUCAGGAGCUCACCGAUAAGGUAAACUAGCUGAUAAGCAAGCCCCAGAAUCCUCCUGCCUCUAUCUCCUCAGCUUUGGAGUUUAAUGUGUAUGCCGCCAUUUUGUGUGGGUGUUAUAGUGGGUGCCGCUGUUAAAGUAGCUUUCUCAAUUACCUUUCUUAUACAACAAAGACCCAUGAAGUAGGUGGAUCCUCCCACAUCAAGCACCCAUUAAGACAAUGCCCCAUAAACUUGCCUACAGCCUAAGGUGAUGGAGGCAUGUUCUCCGUUGAGGUUCCUUCAUGGUUUCCCAGAUGAAUCUAGCUUGUGUCAAUUUGAAAAGCAAAACAAAACACAUCAGCUCACCAGCAUAAUAAUUCUCUUGUCCUAAAUAUGCACUGAUUUUAUUUUGAGAAUUCAGAACUUAUAACACCACUGUUCUCUGCCAAGUCAAUUGCACAUUCAGCAGGUUUAAAGUUUCAACAUUUACAUCUUCUGAAAACAAAUAGAAGAAGUUGACUUGGUGUCUGCAAAAUACUUAAAUUUAUAUUCUUUUCUAAAACUUUACUGACAUUAUCUUGCUUCCAGGAUUCUUUAAAGUGUCAUUGAAAUCUCAGAUUUCAGUAUGGUUCAAACUUCUGUCUGCAGCAGUUUGUUCAUAGACUAAAUUUUUCUCCAAGGCAAUGGUCUACAUUUAGCUUUGGAUUCUAAGAAUGGAAAUGAGUCUUUUCUCUUUAUUACUUAUCAGUGUGUGACCUUCUAGCUUUCUCCUUUCUUCUGAUCUUUCCCUCAGUUUGAAUUUUGAUAUAUAUUACUCAUUUUCUUUUUCUUAAAUAUUUCAAAAAUAGAAUUUUAAAAAGGUAAUAGUCUAGAGAUGAAUGCUUGAGGCUAUUGGCACACAGUUUAGGUAAUAAACAUAUCAUCUAAUGGGGGCAGGUUUUCUUUAGGUAAGAAAGGAACACUGAUUUAAACUUGCUUUGUUUGUUUGUAUUUUUAUUUUGUUGUUAUUGUUGUAGGUAGGAUCUUACUGUGCUUUUGACUGAGUUUAAACUCAAGGUAAUCCUUCUGUCUCUGACCUCUGACUAUUGAAAUUAAGGACUACCAUAUGUGCCGCUAUACAUGGCCACAGUCUAUUUUAAACUACCAGAUGAAGAAUGAAUGACUUUGCUUUUUGAUUUCCAUUGCUCUUUUAGCUAUCAUAGAUUUAAGAGAUUCCCUUUGUGAUUUAGCCAACACUUUCUCUAUGUCACAUCUAAUUCGUUCUCUAAUAACUUCAAGGAGAAUCUUUGGACAUUUAUUUUGUAUAUUAAGGUAUGUUGAUAUUUGAGCAUAUUUUUAUUUUAUCUGUUAUUUUAAUAGUAGCUUACUAUCCUUACACCAUUCUAUGUUUAAUAUUCUAUGAGCUUGACUCAGCACCUAGGAAAUGGAUAUUACAAAUGUCUUACCUGAUCUCUUUAACUUUCAUGGUGGAAAGUCAUGUGUGUUAAAAGCCUAAGAUUAUUAUGAAGAUUUUACAAAAUGUGUGAAUUCCCAGUACUCCUGAAUGCUUCUUAUAUUAGUAUGUGCAUCAGAAAAUAAUAAGAAUAUAUUUCUAGAAGAUAAUGUAAAUAGAAGAAAUCAUUAUUUUCUUUGGGGGAGUAUUAUAGAUAAAAUAUUAUUUUGUAUUUUCAUGGUGUCCAUAAUAUUUCCUAAAAUGUAUGCAUCAUGAACACAAAUAAAUAAUGGUUUUUCUGGUG
rnacentral:lncRNA from 1 species